GACGAACGCUGGCGGCGUGCUUAACACAUGCAAGUCGAACGGAAAGGCCCUGCUUUUGUGGGGUGCUCGAGUGGCGAACGGGUGAGUAACACGUGAGUAACCUGCCCUUGACUUUGGGAUAACUUCAGGAAACUGGGGCUAAUACCGGAUAGGAGCUCCUGCUGCAUGGUGGGGGUUGGAAAGUUUCGGCGGUUGGGGAUGGACUCGCGGCUUAUCAGCUUGUUGGUGGGGUAGUGGCUUACCAAGGCUUUGACGGGUAGCCGGCCUGAGAGGGUGAACGGCCACAUUGGGACUGAGAUACGGCCCAGACUCCUACGGGAGGCAGCAGUGGGGAAUAUUGCACAAUGGGCGGAAGCCUGAGGCAGCAACGCUGCGUGCGGGAUGACGGCCUUCGGGUUGUAAACCGCUUUCGCCUGUGACGAAGCGUGAGUGACGGUAAUGGGUAAAGAAGCACCGGCUAACUACGUG
rnacentral:rRNA from 1 species